rnacentral:misc_RNA from 1 species
GUAGUCUUCAUUAGUCUUGCUUUUGUCGAAGACGAACCGGGUUACCAAAGUCACGAUCAUAAAGGUUGAAAUCCAGACCCGCAUCUGGAGAGGCUGGUUCGAGUCCAGUUCGUGACAAGGAAAGCUGUUCAAUCGCUCUCAAUCACUCGCCCUUAAGAAAGGGGCAUCCCUAAAAGCGAGGCUAUUUCACAAGCCAUCAGACACGAAUACAGCGAAGACUUCGACAGCUUAGAAUGCUAGACCUUAUGCUUACGACGGAUUACGUACUACGGAUUGGACUGCUUAGGCUUAGUAGCAUUUGCAGGAGUCAAAUUACUUAUUUAUAAAAAUUUUUGACAUAAGUCAAAAUAAAGGAAGAUGAAGAUUCAGUUUUCAAGGAAAUGGAACCAUAAAAAGCGAUACCGGAAAUGACUAAAGAUUCACCCGCUGGUGCUUACUCUCAGAAAAAAGGAAAAGCUUUGACGACUGGGCGGACAUACCGAAUAAGUGGAGAGAAGGAAUAGACCUAGGAAGGAAAGAAAGCGAAGUAAGCAUCCAACUCUGGUACUAGCAAACGAUGACUCAGGAAAGGAAGUCAAGGAUGAGGGAAGGGAUUAGUGGGCGGACGGUGUAGUUCCCCUUUCGUUGUUCUCGGUACUAGGGCCGAUCCCAUCCAGUCAGCCUAAAAGUCAAUCCUUGCUUUAACCGCUUAGGCUCUUUGCAAGAAGGGUAAGGCAAGAGGACCACUACUGGGAUUAUUAAACUACUAACUGAUGACCAGGGGACUACUCUGCUUCUUCCACUACUGAUAUUGACUGACCUGUUGAGAGGAUAGCAGCAAGAGAAAGAAAAAAAGAAGUAGAGUUAGGUUCUGUUCUAGUGUGUAAGCAUCUCUUUCCUCGGUCGAUUCGUCUGCUCAUUCAGUGUAUGAUUCUUAUCCAAUUGCUUCUUCCGACUUGAACCAUGUCUGUCAAGGGUGAAAGCCGUAGCCCGUACAUUCCUUGCCCUAGGCGAGCUGAGCUUAGCCCUCUUACCGGACUUCUGACUUGAGUUAUUCGGCCAGGUUCUGGCUCUAUUACCUAAGCCGAGUUGACUGAGCUA